rnacentral:rRNA from 1 species
AGUCUAGGGUCUAUCGGUAAGGACGUGAAAUACGAAAUAACAAGGGAGAGACUUUGAACUUGUUUAUCCUAACUGAAAAGGGUGAAUUGAAU